rnacentral:lncRNA from 1 species
ACAUAUAUAUAUAUUAUAUACACAAGAACGCGAUUAUAUCUUACUCUCUCUCUUUCUUCUCACUCUCACUCUCUCCUCGUCCAUUUAAUUCGUCGUAUUUUUAAACUAUUAUAUUAUAUUUUUGAUUAAUAUAAAAAGAAAGAAGCAGGACCAAGAAGUAUAUAUAUAUAUAAGGAGAGAAAACACAAAAAAAAAUUUCACGAGUCUACACAAUAUUAUUUACCGCGUCACGUCGCAUCCGUGGUGUUUUUAUAAAACUCUUUUAAUUUCUCUCGUAUUAAAUCUUAUUAUUAUUAUUAUUAUUAUUUAAUAAUCUUGUUUUAAAUUAACGCACAUUGGCAAGAAACAAUCGAGCAACCAACCAACCAAUCAACAACCACAACGCCGAUAUAUUAUCUAUCAGCCCGCUGCCCCCCUUCCUACCGUAUGUUAGAAAAUAAUCUUGUUAUUAUUAUUCUCGUGCGUGUGGUGUGUCCUAUAUGUGUGUGUGCGCGCAACGUUAAGAAAAGUAAAUGAUUUUAUAACGAGAGACAGAAACCGACUACCCACACCCACCGGCAGGGAGAUUUCGUAUAUAAAAAAACAACAAACACAAGAAAAUGAGAAAAGAAUAAUCUGACGAUCCGAUAUCGAAGAUGAUUGCGAGUGUAAUAUAAAACGAAGAAAUCAAAGAUUUUUUUUUUUUUUUUCAAACACAAACAAACGUCGUCGUCGUCGUCGCGGUGGUGUGUGUAUGUGUAUGUGUGUUAUUAGAAUUAUUAUUGGCAGUGGUGGGGUUUAACGCGUA